AGUGAACGCUGGCGGUAGGCCUAACACAUGCAAGUCGAACGGCAGCACAGGAGAGCUUGCUCUCUGGGUGGCGAGUGGCGGACGGGUGAGGAAUACAUCGGAAUCUACUCUGUCGUGAGGGAUAACGUAGGGAAACUUACGCUAAUACCGCAUACGACCUACGGGUGAAAGCAGGGGAUCUUCGGACCUUGCGCGAUUGAAUGAGCCGAUGUCGGAUUAGCUAGUUGGCGGGGUAAAGGCCCACCAAGGCGACGAUCCGUAGCUGGUCUGAGAGGAUGAUCAGCCACACUGGAACUGAGACACGGUCCAGACCCCUACGGGAGGCAGCAGUGGGGAAUAUUGGACAAUGGGCGCAAGCCUGAUCCAGCCAUACCGCGUGGGUGAAGAAGGCCUUCGGGUUGUAAAGCCCUUUUGUUGGGAAAGAAAUCCAGCUGGCUAAUACCCGGUUGGGAUGACGGUACCCAAAGAAUAAGCACCGGCUAACUUCGUGCCAGCCGCCGCAGUAA
rnacentral:rRNA from 1 species